rnacentral:misc_RNA from 1 species
GGAAGUAAAAGUCGUAGCAAGGUCUCCGUUGGUGAACCAGCGGAGGGAUCAUUACCGAGUUAUACAACUCCCGAACCCACUGUGAACCUUACCUCUACGUUGCUUCGGCGGGACCGCCCCGGGCCACCCGUGCCCGGAACCAGGCGCCCGCCGGAGACCCCAAAACUCUCAUGUUUACCAUAGCGGAAUUUCUUCUGAGUGGCCCUUUGCGGCAAACAAAUGAAUCAAAACUCUCAACAACGGAUCUCUUGGUUCUG